rfam:Betaproteobacteria bacterium RBG_16_64_9 RBG_16_scaffold_41953, whole genome shotgun sequence.
UGUCCCCUGCGUUGUUCGCCAAGGCCCGGUAAUUCUUGAACCAACAGAGUUAUCCCGGUCGCGGCCUUGAGUCACUGUUGUGCGCGUCCCUUGGCCUUGCGCCUCGCCGGACGUACCUGAUGUGACCGGAAAGCGACCACCUUGGACCAUACGGUUCAGGAUUAAGGUCUGACGGCAACGGCGGGGGGCAC